UACAGAGACUGCAAGCGUUAUUCGGAUUCACUGGGCGUAAAGGGCUCGUAGGCGGCCAACUAAGUCGGAUGUGAAAUCCCCAGGCUCAACCUGGGAACUGCAUCCGAUACUGGAUGGCUUGAAUUCGGGAGAGGGAUGCAGAAUUCCAGGUGUAGCGGUGAAAUGCGUAGAUAUCUGGAGGAACACCGGUGGCGAAGGCGGCAUCCUGGACCGAGAUUGACGCUGAUGCGCGAAAGCCAGGGGAGCAAACGGG
rnacentral:rRNA from 1 species